GAUUUACAAAAGUUAAAAAGACAUAUGGUGUGUGCCUCUUCUACUCUACUUCAAAGGAAAAUUGAAAUCAGCUGGGCUAAAAGGAUAAUCCUGUCAAUUGCCAAUGAUGUUUUGGGUGCCAAGGGUUGAACAUUUAAGGAGCACCUGAACUGAGGCUCAAAGAACCUACAGAUGAUGGAAAUCUGAAGUAAGAACAGAUGCAGGGAACAUUCCAUUGUGCUGUAUGGAUGGUCUCAGAGUAGAUACAAUACUGGAAAUCCAUGAGGUGAUGGUAACACUAGCAGAAUUUCCUCUGGUAGGUUGAAGAAUGUACUAGACCAUUACAAUCUGUGAGCUCUGAGGCUACGUCUACACUACGCCGGAAAAUUUUGAAAACGCCGGUUUCGAGUAAAAAUGACAGGGAUCCACGCUAAGCGUUUUUCAAAAUAUCUCCAUCCACAUUAGACGGAUAUUUGGGCGAAUCUCCUCCUACUGAGCAUGCGCAGGACACAGAAAACAAGCGAAGAGGAAUUGGUAUACUUGGUGCGCGUUUGUCCAGUUACAGAGUAGAAAACUUAAAAGGACUUGCUCUUGGCUCUCGCGCAGGAGGACUUAAAACUAAAAGAAAAACAAAUACUGGAGCGUAUGGAGGCAA